UACGGGGGGAGCAAGCGUUGUUCGGAUUUACUGGGCGUAAAGGGCGCGUAGGCGGCGUGACAAGUCACUUGUGAAAUCUCCGGGCUUAACUCGGAACGGUCAAGUGAUACUGUCGUGCUAGAGUACAGAAGGGGCAACUGGAAUUCUCGGUGUAGCGGUGAAAUGCGUAGAUAUCAGGAGGAACACCGAUGGCGAAGGCAGGUCUCUGGGCAUUAACUGACGCUGAGGAGCGAAAGCAUGGGGAGCGAACAGG
rnacentral:rRNA from 1 species